rnacentral:rRNA from 1 species
AUUGAACGCUGGCGGCAGGUCUAACACAUGCAAGUCGAGCGAGCGGCGGACGGGUGAGUAAUGUCUGGGAAACUGCCUGAUGGAGGGGGAUAACUACUGGAAACGGUAGCUAAUACCGCAUACCAUCGGAUGUGCCCAGAUGGGAUUAGCUAGUAGGUGGGGUAAUGGCUCACCUAGGCGACGAUCCCUAGCUGGUCUGAGAGGAUGACCAGCAACACUGGAACUGAGACACGGUCCAGACUCAUACGGGAGGCAGCAGUGGGGAAUAUUGCACAAUGGGCGCAAGCCUGAUGCAGCCAUGCCGCGUGUAUGAAGAAGGCUUUCGGGUGGUAAAGUACUUUCUGCGGGCAUGCGUUACCCGCAGAAUAAGCACCGUCUAACUCCGUGCCAGCAGAAGAGGUAAGUC